AUCCGUUUUCAACCACUCACUCGCACUCCACAUCUGUAAAAAGGGGUAACGGUACGGAUGGUACCUGGCUUGUUAAUACGUAUUGUUUUAAACAAGGCCUGUUACGUAAGAGGUGCUUGAUAAACAGCCAUUACGGACUCUCAUUAAAAGCUGCAACCAGGAUUAGAAUAAUCACAGAACUGUAAGGAAACUUGAGGAUAUCUGCAAAAUCGAGGCUUCCGGAGUGUCUCCUGUUUCUUUAUAGGACACCGCAGCUCUGAAUCGUUCUGGCGGCAGUUCUAGCUGCAUCUUGUUUUUUGCCCAGCUGACUGCCGCCUACUAAGUCUCUACAACUCCCAUCAUCACAAUGUGUACCUCUCCCCACAGAGCGCGACGCCGCCAGCCGGCCCUGUGUCCUGCCAGCGGGACAAGCGCUCUCGUACGGUUCGAGAGCCGGAGCUGGGUGUGUGCAGGCGUAUCUGCCCGAACCCUUGCUGCCCAUUCACGAUGGGAGAGUGACACGGUCACUACCACAUGGAAACCGGAAGCGCGAGGCAGAUUAGGAACUGCCCCAACAGCCACUGACUUAGAGAAUAACCGAACCAGCAAUUUGUUUCUAUGGAAAAAUACAUUUCAAGUUCCACAACCAACUUACAAGUAUAUUUUUGGACCACAAGACUCAAAUAUGUUAUAAAGAAAUUGUCUCCACUCAAAGUUCUUCUUUUUAACUUGAAGAAUACUACGUUAAAGAACAUGUGGAAAAAAUUAAAAAAGAGGUAUUUGACAGAAACAUGAAUAACUAUAAAUUUCCAUUACUUUUUAUUUUGGGCUGAUCAUCUAAAAUUAGAUUGUUAAAAAAUAAAUAACUUGUUAAAUGUGAA